rnacentral:misc_RNA from 1 species
UACGAAGGGGGCUAGCGUUGUUCGGAAUUACUGGGCGUAAAGCGCACGUAGGCGGAUUGUACAGUCAGACGUGAAAUUCCUGGGCUCAACCUGGGGACUGCGUUUGAGACGUAUAGUCUUGAGUGAGGAAGAGGGUUGUGGAAUUCCCAGUGUAGAGGUGAAAUUCGUAGAUAUUGGGAAGAACACCGGUGGCGAAGGCGGCAACCUGGUCCUUUACUGACGCUGAGGCGCGAAAGCGUGGGGAGCAAACAGG